rnacentral:rRNA from 1 species
CCUACGGGGGGCAGCAGUGGGGAAUAUUGCACAAUGGGGGCAACCCUGAUGCAGCGACGCCGCGUGAGUGAAGAAGUAUCUCGGUACGUAAAGCUCUAUCAGCAGGGAAGAAAAUGACGGUACCUGACUAAGAAGCCCCGGCUAACUACGUGCCAGCAGCCGCGGUAAUACGUAGGGGGCAAGCGUUAUCCGGAUUUACUGGGUGUAAAGGGAGCGGAGACGGCAGCGCAAGUCUGGAGUGAAAGCCCGGGGCUUAACCCCGGAACUGCUUUGGAAACUGGGCGGCUGGAGUGCAGGAGGGGCAAGCGGAAUUCCGAGUGUAGCGGUGAAAUGCGUAGAUAUUAGGAGGAACACCGGUGGCGAAGGCGGCUUACUGGACUGUAACUGACGUUGAGGCUCGAAAGCGUGGGGAGCAAACAGGAUUAGAUACCCGUGUAGUC